GUUGGUGAACCAGCGGAGGGAUCAUUACAAGAAGCCGAAAGGCUACUUCAAACCAUUGCGAACUCGUCCAAGUUGCUUCGGCGGCGCGGCACCCCCUAACGGGGGCGCCGCAGCCCUGCCUCUCCGGAGGUUCGGGGCGCCCGCCAGAGGACCACAACUCUGUAUUAAAUGUCGUCUGAGUACUAUAAAAUAGUUAAAACUUUCAACAACGGAUCUCUUGGUUCUG
rnacentral:misc_RNA from 1 species